rnacentral:rRNA from 1 species
GAUGAACGCUGGCGGCGCGCCUAACACAUGCAAGUCGAACGAGAAAGGAAGAGCUUGCUCUUCUAAUCGAGUGGCGAACGGGUGAGUAACGCGUGAGGAACCUGCCUCAAAGAGGGGGACAACAGUUGGAAACGGCUGCUAAUACCGCAUAAGCGCACAGUACCGCAUGAUACAGUGUGAAAAACUCCGGUGGUAUAAGAUGGACCCGCGUCUGAUUAGCUAGUUGGUGAGAUAACAGCCCACCAAGGCGACGAUCAGUAGCCGGCCUGAGAGGGUGACCGGCCACAUUGGGACUGAGACACGGCCCAGACUCCUACGGGAGGCAGCAGUGGGGAAUAUUGCACAAUGGAGGAAACUCUGAUGCAGCGACGCCGCGUGAGUGAAGAAGUAAUUCGUUAUGUAAAGCUCUAUCAGCAGGGAAGAGUAAGUGACGGUACCUGACUAAGAAGCUCCGGCUAAAUACGUGCCAGCAGCCGACGG